UGAAGCCAAGGAUGGUUUGGAAUGACAAACAGAGCAAUGUAAAACAGCCAAGCAACAUUUUGCUAUUGAGUGAUUUGUCAUCAGUUCUUUCAUUUGCAACUUUCACCAGCAUCUGCCUCAAGACGUUCUGACCACGGGCACCACGGCUGAGGGCUGUGUUCCUCACUCAUUCAUUUUUCCAGGCUGUUGCUAUGCAUUUGUCCACAAAGGCCAGCACCACAAAGAACUAUGAUGCCUAAACACUACAGGGCAUCACAAAGACUGCACUGAUGCACAGAAGCCUCUAUGACAAGAGAGGAGUGCUCUAGGAGUAGCACAAGAAGCCGCAUACCUGAAAGAAGUAGAAAAGAUACCAACAGACUACCUGCUUUUAUUUCCCUCUUCUCUUGUUCAGCAUGAUCGUGUCAGAGAACUGAUUCUUGUUCUCCUUAGAAAGCUUUUCGCUAUAAGAAAUGACAUCCUGGAAGGAACAGUGACAGACAGAUUCCACAUUUCCAUAGUCCAAAACAAACAAUGUUGGAAAAAGUUGCAACUGAGAAGCUGCUUUCUUGUAUGUGGAAAAGUCAGAGGCAGAGCAUGUGCUACUGAGGCGGGAACAAACAUGGAUACACAGGCCAAAUAAAGUGGUAUCAGAGUGCAAAGCAUGUAUUUCACUUGCAAACGUUUCAAUUGCAA